rnacentral:rRNA from 1 species
AUGUUGCAGGAGGAUGGGGGUAUUAAUGAAGAUGUGAACCAUCGAAUCAAAGCCGGAUGGAUGAAGUGGCGCCAAGCUUCUGGCAUUCUCUGUGACAAGAGAGUGCCACAAAAGCUAAAAGGCAAGUUCUACAGGACGGCGGUUCGACCCGCAAUGUUGUAUGGCGCGGAGUGUUGGCCGACUAAAAGGCGACAUGUUCAACAGUUAGGUGUGGCGGAGAUGCGUAUGUUGAGAUGGAUGUGUGGCCAGACGAGGAAGGAUCGAGUCCGGAAUGAUGAUAUACGAGAUAGAGUUGGGGUAGCACCAAUUGAGGAGAAGCUUGUCCAACAUCGUUUGAGAUGGUUUGGGCAUAUUCAGCGCAGGCCUCCAGAAGCUCCAGUGCAUAAUGGACGGCUAAAGCGUGCGGAGAAUGUCAAGAGAGGGCGGGGUCGAUCGAUUUUGACAUGGGAGGAGUCCGUUAAGAGAGACCUGAAGGAUUGGAGUAUCGACAAAGAGCUAGCUAUGGACAGGGGUGCGUGGAAGCUUGCUAUCCAUGUGACAGAGCCAUGA